rnacentral:rRNA from 1 species
AACGAACGCUGGCGGCAUGCCUAACACAUGCAAGUCGAACGAGACCUUCGGGUUUAGUGGCGCACGGGUGCGUAACGCGAGGGAACCUGCCCUUAGGUUCGGAAUAACUCCCCGAAAGGGGUGCUAAUAUCGGAUAAUGUCCUCGUACCAAAGAGUAAUUGGUUUCGGAUGGGCCAGCGUUGGAUUAGGCGGUUGGUAGGGUAAAAGCUUACUAGGCGGACGAUCCAUAACUUGUCUGAGAGGAUGAUCAGCCACACUGGGACUGAGACACGGCCCAGACUCCUACGGGAGGCGGCAGUGGGGAAUAUUGGACAAUGGGCGAAAUCAUGAUCCAGCAAUGCCGCGUGAGUGAUGAAGGACUUGGAGUAGUAAAGCUCUUGUACACGAGAUGAUAAUGACAGUACCGGACGAAUAAGCUCCGGCUAACUACGUG